AACACAUGCAAGUCGAACGAACCCUUCGGGGUUAGUGGCGCACGGGUGCGUAACGCGUGGGAAUCUGCCCUUUGCUUCGGAAUAACUCAGGGAAACUUGUGCUAAUACCGGAUGAUGUCUUCGGACCAAAGAUUUAUCGGCAAGGGAUGAGCCCGCGUAGGAUUAGGUAGUUGGUGAGGUAAAGGCUCACCAAGCCGACGAUCUUUAGCUGGUCUGAGAGGAUGAUCAGCCACACUGGGACUGAGACACGGCCCAGACUCCUACCGGAGGCAGCAGUGGGGAAUAUUAGACAAUGGGCGAAAGCCUGAUCCAGCAAUGCCGCGUGAGUGAUGAAGGCCUUAGGGUUGUAAAGCUCUUUUACCCGGGAUGAUAAUGACAGUACCGGGAGAAUAAGCUCCGGCUAACUCCGUGCCAGCAGCCGCGGUAAUAC
rnacentral:rRNA from 1 species